rnacentral:rRNA from 1 species
CGCGUAGGCGGCCUUGUAAGUCUCAUGUGAAAUACCCGCUUUCAAGGCGGGGGUGUCAUGAGAAACUGCGAGGCUUGAGGUCAGGAGAGGAAAGCGGAAUUCCCAGUGUAGCGGUGAAAUGCGUAGAGAUUGGGAGGAACACCAGUGGCGAAGGCGGCUUUCUGGACUGAAACUGACGCUGAGGCGCGAAAGCGUGGGGAGCAAACAGGAUUAGAUACCCUGGUAGUCCACGCUGUAAACGAUGGAUGCUAGGUGUAGGGGGUAUCGACUCCCUCUGUGCCGCAGUGAACGCAAUAAGCAUCCCGCCUGGGGGAGUACGGCCGCAAGGUUGAA